GUGAAGAACGCGCGCUCCUCUCGCCACAGGACGCAACCGCUCGUGACUCCUGACUCCUGACAGCAGACAGCCGCUCACCCCUCCUCCUCCCCUUCCUACUCCUCCUCCUCCUCCUCUUCCCUUCCUUCCGUCCUCCAUCUCUGCUCCACUCGUCGUGUCGUUCGUGCAAAACCUUCACGGGAUCCUUCAAAUUUAUAUUUUAGUCUUACGACUGUGUUCCUCCAACAACCAGUGGCGUUUGUUAACUCUGUCGAUGGAGGCGUAAAACACAGACAAAUUAAUUAUAACAAUUACAAUUUCUCACAUUGUGGGUGUGUGGAGUCGGUGAGAGGGGCGUGUGUGGAGGCCAGAUCUGUUUCUCAACACCUCUCAUAACAACGCUGAUAGGCGGCAUGUUUUCGCUUUUGGAA